rnacentral:tRNA from 4 species
GCGCCCGUAGCUCAGCUGGAUAGAGCACCAGACUACGAAUCUGGGGGCCGGAGGUUCGAAUCCUUCCGGGCGCACCA